rnacentral:lncRNA from 1 species
UGUAUAUCCCACUGCUGGGUUAUCUCUCGAUUUGCAGGAUGAGACCUAUCCGUCUUUCGGAACUUGCCCUUUGUGCUGAGCCUACCAGUCUGUACCGAGGAACCCCCACGCUCACCCUGCUUCUUCUGUCUCUUAGGCAUUAUCUGCAAAAUUAAUUCAUCAAAACCCAAGUAAGAGACAAAUUGAAAAACACUCUUAUAAAAUCAAUUCUGAUCAAUCCCC